UUCAAUUAUUUCAUUUUUCUAUUUCAAACUACUUUCUAAUAAAAACUAAACUCAAAUAGCUUAAAGUAAUUUUUAUGUAUAUGUAGAGUUGUGCGAACAUUAUAGUAUUGGGCCGCUUAUUUUUAUUGGGUCGGACUUAAUCUCUAAAAUUUUGGUUGGGCCAAUUAGUGAGGGUAUUUAUAUAUUGUUAAUGAGAGAGAGGUUUAUUUUUAUAUAAAGUAUAAACAUUGAGAGCAAGGGUUUUAUACGUCAGAAUCAGAGAGACGAGAGAGAAAGGACUGAAGUGUUGAGCAUUGCGGCGGAUUCGAAUAGCAUUUCAAUACCUUGGAUUAGGCGCUGUUACAGUUGCAUAGCAAUCGUGAUAUCAUUUUUCGGAUUCGAGGUUAGUUCAUGGAGCGUUAUAGUGGACUCUGUGGCUUUGUUGGGACCUUGUGUUUGGACCUCUAGGGUGUUUGCAUUUUUAUUUCUUUUAUCAUGUCAAACCGCUUCCGCACUUUUAUUAAUUGGCAGUUCAUUAUGGAGUUUGGAGAUUGAA